UUUCUUUGUUCCAGUUUCAGGAAACAAAAGGAUGCAGACCUUUUUCGAGAUGCAGACUGAUGCUGAGUUCGACUUACGGCCCAAACCUUAUCCCUCAGAGAAAACUCUUUUCUGGCACUAGGCUUCAGAGAAGAACUCCAAAACCAAUGGAGAACGACAAUCUGAAUUUGGCCACGGAGAAACAAAAAGUUCUAAACCUACAUCCAGUGAUGGGUUCAACCUUAUAGGUA